UUCCGGCAUUCUACAACCCCAACAAAAACAUCUUUUUUCCUCAUUUGAACGUUGAGGUCAGCGUGGGAGGCUACGUACUUUGGUAUGGAGCGUGGCUUCCGGGGAUAGACGUUGCAGCACAAAACAACCAUGGAACACGCUUAGCUGGUGCAGUGCAGAGUCCUCAGUUUGGCGAGUUGACGUUGCUGCUCAAAUUCUACAAGGACGGCUGUAUCUUGUCGAAUGCCGACGACACAACGAAUAUACCAAGACUGUCGGCUUCUUUCAAAAGCAUCAGCUUGGAUGAACUCUACGUCAAGCCCGAUCCGGUGUCUUUCUACGAGUUUAAAGCUGUGACGGGGUAUAUAAAUUACUAGCAGCCUACUUCUCGGAGAACCGCAACAGCACCAGACAGUAGCGGCUGGCCGAAUCAAGAUAUUCCGUUGCUUCAAUGACGACAUCACCUGUGCUUCCUUUG